rnacentral:rRNA from 1 species
UACGUAGGGGGCGAGCGUUGUCCGGAUUCAUUGGGUUUAAAGGGAGCGUAGGUGGCCUUAUAAGUCAGUGGUGAAAUCUCUCGGCUUAACCGAGAAAUUGCCAUUGAUACUGUAGGGCUUGAGUAUAGUUGCCGUUGGCGGAAUAUGACAUGUAGUGGUGAAGUACAUAGAGAUGUCAUAGAACACCGAUUGCGAAGGCAGCUGACGAAACUAUAACUGACACUGAGGCUCGAAAGUGCGGGGAUCAAACAGG